UACGAAGGGGGCUAGCGUUGUUCGGAUUCAUUGGGCGUAAAGGGUGCGUAGGCGGCGGGGCAAGUCUGAUGUGAAAUCCCGGAGCUCAACUCCGGAACUGCAUUGGAUACUGCCUUGCUAGAGUACUGGAGAGGAGAAUGGAAUUCCCGGUGUAGCGGUGAAAUGCGCAGAUAUCGGGAGGAACACCGGUGGCGAAGGCGGUUCUCUGGGCCUUACCUGACGCUGAGGAGCGAAAGCGUGGGGAGCGAACAGG
rnacentral:rRNA from 1 species